AUGGCACCUGUGUUUGGCUGUGCCGCUGCCUUUGUCCAUGUGUUUGUUUACUUUACAUGUUGUGCAAGUGUUUUUGCUACAGUUUUGUCCGGCGUCAUCUCCCUUGGGAUUUAUGAUCGUCAUGUGUUAUUAGCGAUCAAAUUUGCUAUGGAUAAUCUUCAGAGUCAACGAAACAAGGUUGUUUUCCCACCACCGUUUGAGCGCGGCGCACCACCCAGUUUACCUCCAUUCUUGUCGGUCAGCUCAUUUUUGCUUCAGAGGCCUCAUCGGAGGAAGCGGGGGAAGAGAGACUGCUUUCUUGUGCUGCUUUGUUGGCUUCGGAGAGAAGUGGACCUUCGGGGGCUUUAUUCCUGGGCUACUGCCGGUAAUAUACACCUAAGACUUGUCGGAGCUGGAUUAAUCCCCACAACCCCCUGUGUUUACCACCCGAGCUGUCAUCUGAAAGCAUGGAAAGCCACGGCUCAUCGCAGCAGGAACCCUGAUUUGCUGUGCGGUUUACCUCAUAGCGCAGACUCUCUUCCAGGCCACCCUACACCUGUCCCGGUGGGUCGCAAUGUUAAAAUGAUGUUAAUUAAUGCCCGGUCAAUUGCCAACAAGUCUUAUAUCUUAAAUGACUUCUUCUGUGCAGAGAAGCUUGAUUUUAUGUUUAUCUCUGAGACAUGGCAGCGUGAGAAUGAAGUCUCACAUCUUUUAGAGCUAUGUCCCGCAGGCUGUUCAUUUCUCUGUGCACCUCGGAUAUCUGGACGAGGACGUGGAACAGCUUUAAUCUUUAAAAAGAAAUUUUUAUGCCAGAUGAUCUCUUCAAGCUGCUACAACCCUUUUGAGAUGAUUAUGAUAAAAAUUGGAAGAGAUCAGCAUAUGUACGGUAUCGUAAUUUAUCGUCCACCUGGCUCUGCUGCGUCUUUUCUGUCAGACUUGCAAGAAUUUUUAACUUCCACUAUUAAAAUGUGCAAGGUAUUGUUGGUGACUUCAACAUUAAUGCAGAACACUCAUCAAAUAGUACCACUAAGGAGUUCCAGAGCAUCAUGGACUCUUUUAAUUUUGUUCAGCAUGUAUCAGGUCCUACUCAUACUGCUGGGCAUACUCCGGACUUGA
rnacentral:lncRNA from 1 species